rnacentral:lncRNA from 1 species
CGACUAUACACAGCUCCUAAACUGGAGUGGUCAAUCCCAUCUUGAUACACGCACCGACAAGUCAAGUACUUGACUACACCCAGCAGCCUUCCAUCACUGAAUUAAAAAUUCAGGUAGUCCAGUGCCUAAGUACAGUGAGUUGCUUGCAAGUCACCAUGACGGUCUCAGAUCGGAGGGAUAUUUAUACCCAUAUUCCAUCGGAGCAAAUCUUGAUAGCAGAA